rnacentral:rRNA from 1 species
UACGGAGGAUGCAAGCGUUAUCCGGAAUUAUUGGGCGUAAAGCGUCCGCAGGUGGCUGUGUAAGUCUGCUGUUAAAGCGUGAGGCUCAACCUCAUAAAGGCAGUGGAAACUACAUGGCUAGAGUGCGUUCGGGGCAGAGGGAAUUCCUGGUGUAGCGGUGAAAUGCGUAGAGAUCAGGAAGAACACCGGUGGCGAAAGCGCUCUGCUAGGCCGCAACUGACACUGAGGGACGAAAGCUAGGGGAGCGAAUGGG